UGGUAAUGCCGGAUGCUCCAGUUGGAUGCAUGUCCUUCUGGGAAAGAUUCAUCGGUAUGGGAUGGGGUCGCGUCCUAUCAGCUUGAUGGCGGGGUAACGGCCCACCAUGGCUUCGACGGGUAGCCGGCCUGAGAGGGCGACCGGCCACAUUGGGACUGAGAUACGGCCCAGACUCCUACGGGAGGCAGCAGUGGGGAAUAUUGCACAAUGGGCGCAAGCCUGAUGCAGCGACGCCGCGUGCGGGAUGACGGCCUUCGGGUUGUAAACCGCUUUUGACUGGGAGCAAGCCCUUCGGGGUGAGUGUACCUUUCGAAUAAGCACCGGCUAACUACGUGCCAGCAGCCGCGGUAAUACGUAGGGUGCAAGCGUUAUCCGGAAUUAUUGGGCGUAAAGGGCUCGUAGGCGGUUCGUCGCGUCCGGUGUGAAAGUCCAUCGCUUAACGGUGGAUCCGCGCCGGGUACGGGCGGGCUUGAGUGCGGUAGGGGAGACUGGAAUUCCCGGUGUAACGGUGGAAUGUGUAGAUAUCGGAAA
rnacentral:rRNA from 1 species